AAGAAGAUAUGGCAGCCAAAGUAUAACCCUAUAACAAGACUUGCACUGACACACAGAAGAAAUAUCUGCCAAAAAUCUGCCAAAAAAUAUCAGAUGGCUGAAGGUCAUACAAACUGGACCACCAUGUUCUUACAAAUCCUGUUCCUAAUAUGUUCAGUUUGUAAUACUUAUGGUGUUGCUAGUGCUGCAUCACCAUCGUGUCCCGGGGAUGAAUACAGAGCGGGACAGGUCUGCUGCCUUGCAUGUCCUGGUGGAUAUAGGGUUCAUAGGGAUUGCACAGCGACAGCCAAUACAUUGUGCUCAAAGUGCCCCGAUGGUACUUUCAAAGAAGGCCUUAGCGGACAGAAGCAAUGCUCUAACUGUACAAUGUGUGUCACAGGUACAUCUAUAUUUUUAAAUAGAAAUGCCCCAAUGCAACCCCUAUCUGUUGUGUUGUCCAUGUUUAUAUCAGAAGUUUUGUGGUUCAUGUUAAUAUCAGAGAAGUUGUGUUGUUCAUGUUGAUAUCAGAAGUUGUGUUCAUGUUUACAUUAGAAGUUGUGUUGUCCAUGUUUAUAUCAGAAGUUGUGUUGUUCAUGUAAUAUCAGAAGUUGUGUACUCUCUGGUUGUCUCAGGUUCCUCUGUAACUGUUGUGAUUGACAGGUCUGAAGGUUAAGAAGAAGUGUACUCCAACAUCAGACACCGAGUGUGAGAUCCUGGAUGGAUUCUUCUGUAGUGUCUCAGCAGAUAAAGACACAUUCUCAGAGGCCACAUUGUCAUGCCAACACCACACAAUAUGUGAUUCUGGGGUGCAGAUACAACCAGGAACUGAUUCAAC